GAAAAAUGACAUUGCAGUGAAAGAUUCGAUGAAAAAAGGAGGUUAAGAAAAAAGAACUUUAGAGGGUCUACAGCUACAAGCAUCUGAGAAUUAUGCCAUCUUCAGAGGCAUCCUGUGCUGCACGUUGCUCAACUUGCUUGACUUCAGGCUGACUCAGAAGGAAACUGGGAAUUAUUCCUUGACCAGAGGGAGGGCUGCUCUGCGGGAAUUAUGGAGACUGUGUUGCAGCGCGAGAACGCUUAGGUCUAAUGACACCAAAUCUAAUUCCUUCAACUUUACCUCGGGAGAACAUGUAUUGAAAUUUAA